rnacentral:tRNA from 1 species
CAGGGGAUGUAGCUCAUAUGGUAGAGCGCUCGCUUCGCAUGCGAGAGGCAGGGGUUCGAUUCCCCGCAUCUCCAC